AAAAAGUUAGUUUAUAUAAAAUAUUAAUUUGUCAAAUUAAAGAAAUUAUUUAAUACUUUUUA
rnacentral:tRNA from 1 species